rnacentral:rRNA from 1 species
CACGUAGGGCGCAAGCGUUGUCCGGAAUUACUGGGCGUAAAGCGCACGUAGGCGGGUACUUAAGUCAGGGGUGAAAUCCCGGGGCUCAACCCCGGAACUGCCUUUGAUACUGGGUAUCUCGAGUCCGGAAGAGGUGAGUGGAAUUCCGAGUGUAGAGGUGAAAUUCGUAGAUAUUCGGAGGAACACCAGUGGCGAAGGCGGCUCUCUAGUACGGUACUGACGCUGAGACGCGAAAGCGUGGGGAGCGAACAGG